UACGUAGGUGGCAAGCGUUGUCCGGAAUUACUGGGUGUAAAGCGCGUGUAGGCGGCAGACCAAGUCGGCGGUGAAAGCGCCCGGCUCAACUGGGCGAGGUCCGUGGAAACUGGUCAGCUGGAGGACGGUAGAGGCGAGUGGAAUUCCCGGUGUAGUGGUGAAAUGCGUAGAGAUCGGGAGGAACACCAGUAGCGAAGGCGGCUCGCUGGGCCAUUCCUGACGCUGAGACGCGAAAGCUAGGGGAGCGAACAGG
rnacentral:rRNA from 1 species